AUUGAACGCUGGCGGCAGGCCUAACACAUGCAAGUCGAACGGAAACAGGAAGAAGCUUCCUUCUUUGCUUACGAGUGGCGGGUGGGUGAGUAAUGUCUGGGACACUGCUUGAUGGCUGGGGUUAAUUACUGGAAACGGUAGCUAAUCCCGCAUAACUUCGCAAGACCAAAGAGGGGGAGCUUCGGGCGUCUUUCCUUCCGAUGUGCCCAGAUGGCAUUAGCUAGUAGGUGGGGUAACGGCUCACCUAGGCGACGAUCCCUAGCUGGUCUGAGAGGAUGACCAGCCACACUGGAACUGAGACACGGUCCAGACUCCUACGGGAGGCAGCAGUGGGGAAUAUUGCACAAUGGGCGCAAGCCUGAUGCAGCCAUGCCGCGUGUAUGAAGAAGGCCUUCGGGUUGUAAAGUACUUUCAGCGGGGAGGAAGGGAGUAAAGUUAAUACCUUUGCUCAUUGACGUUACCCGCAGAAGAAGCACCGGCUAACUCCGUG
rnacentral:rRNA from 1 species